CACCUAGGAUCUUCUUUAAUAUCCAGUAGUUUCUCUGAAGGAGAGUGGCUUGCCCUGCACUCAGAUGGCAAUUCAUGUCCAGUUUGUGAGAUCUUAGACAGAUGUGAUAGAUAAUUUGGGGAAGGGGAUAAGGGGGAAAAAAAAAAAAGAGGCUGGACACUAGACCUUUGAGAGUCAUUUCUAAGUAGAGGUGGGGAAAAAGGGAGCGAUGGCCAUGAGGGUGCUUGCACGGUGCCUCCCCGCCACACCUGGGAACAGGGACUUGAGAAGUGGCUGACGUGUUUAUUUGGUGUGAGGUCAGCUACAGCUCUGAGGGCAAUAAUAUGAUUCCCAUAAAACAGAACUCCCAGGCUGGGCCACCGGCCUGCUUGCUGCCAAAGAAAGGUGGUGGCCUAGUAAAUGAGACAUUGCUGUCAGCUCUCCAUAAAUGGAGGAUUCCUUCACUUUGUGAAUUAUGCAGGCUCUUCCUUGCCCUCCCAUGUCCAUCCUGCCUAUUGCUUUUUAACUCCUUGUUUUGUGUGGCUUCUUUCAGAUGGAAAAGAAAGGAAAAGAGAUUUGAUUUCUGUGGCUGAGAACCACUCCAACAGAAGAUUUUGUGAAGAAUGAGGUUGAAGCUAUUAGUACAAGUUAGAAAAAAAAAUCUAGUUCUAAGACCUGCAGAAGAAAGACCUGAACUUCAGAGGGGACCACAAAUGAAUAUGAAUUAAGAACGGGGUUCUCUUUUCAAAAGCCAACACAAAAUGAGGACAUGUUUUAUGUAAAAGCAGCUCUUCUUGCCAGUGGGCUUCCACGUGUCCUUCUUUCAUAUAUCACAGCCAGACCUAGGAAAUUCCCUGGGAAGUGCGCUCCACCACAGUGCCUGCAGUUUCUCCAUUUGACUGGGAUUCUGUUGCACCUUGAGAGAUUUUUUUUUUUUUUUUUGAUGUUUGGGAAGCUGUUACCACAAAAAAGCCCUUCCUGCAGUGAGGAAAUAGCAUGGUACCCAGAAAGACGAAGGGAGUGGACUGGGAAAUGGGAAUCUGGGUCCAUUUCCCUCCUACCAGUACCAUUUCCCUCCUACCAGUACCAUUUCCCUCCUACCAGUACUGUGUGUUUUUCCUGGCCUCAGUGGCUUCAUCUGUAAAAUGGAACAGUGUGGACAUGAAAGUGAAAACAUCUGCCAUUGUGACUAUAAAUGUUUAAGAAACGAGUCCUGCGUACCUGCCUCCUUCAGUUUUCCAUCUGUAAGGUACCACUUAUUGGGUGCUUGCUAUUUGUGGAGCAAAAAGAAUGCUGAAGCAAGAAGGCAGCCUCGAAGGGGUGCUGUUCAGAGCCAAUUUACAAUUAUGAAGGAAGCCAGAUUGAAGAAAAUGCCAAAAAGUACAAAAGGGAAGGCCAAACUGAAAGAAUUUCAGAACAUCAGAGUCUGGGCCAUGAUGCACCCAGGCUUCAUGAUAUAUGAGAGAUGUUCACUGUGACCUCAAGUGGAUUCUUCUCCACCAAUCCAAAAUUUUAUCCCAGGAGACACCAGCAAUCAUUUGCAGGAGAUAUUGAUCAACCAGAGAAUGCACAUUUCUGAACCAGAUCCCUGGUGAGGUUGAUGGGACAGUAGCAGGAAGCUUGUUUUGUGGAUUUGGAAAUGAAAACCCAAGAGAGUCUGAGAAGCCCUAUGUGCCACAAGUCCUCUGUCUGCCCCCGGCCACUGCCAGCAUCACGAGGCCAGGUGAGCUUUGUUCUCUAUCGUAUUCAUGGGUUCUGCUACUACGCCUAAUGAAGAGGUGCCUCAUGAACCUUGAGUCAAAAUAAGCAGUGGAUGGAUAUCUUUGUUAACAUCUUGUUCUUGCUUAGCUUACCUGCUCUGAUGUGUCUGAAUUUCUCUCCUCUCCUGUGUCUCUUCAUGACCUCCUUUGCUUGCUUCUUUCUUGCCCUACUGUCAGCAUCUCUCAGUUCCUUCUUUCUCUCCCAACCCUUGAAUGUGUAAACUUCUUAGGCUUCAGCCCUGAGCCCUCUGCCUCUCUC